CUGUGAAACAAGAAAGUCAUUUUGUCUACGCUUGUGUCUGUGAGAGGAGAAGAGCAAGAUGAGUUUUCCAAGUGAGUGUUAUCAGUUCUUUAGGAUUUUCUCUCCCUUGGAUACUAGGACCAUGAAGAAACCACCAUAGUGAUUCAACUUUCUCACUCUUAUCGAAAGGGGGUGGGGUGGAGAGAUGAGUCAUGAGUCACACCACAGGAAAACCUCCACAUUUCAGAGGCCGUUCCAGAAUGAAGAUGUUCAAGCAAUGCUGCAAUGAAGAUUAUGUAGGAUCCCUAACUCACCAACUGAAGCAUAUUGAGAACUGAUUAUUACUUCCCGGGUUUGCUGUCCUGCAGGUCCAGACAACUCUUACUGGCAUACUGAGUU
rnacentral:lncRNA from 1 species